rnacentral:rRNA from 1 species
GACGAACGCUGGCGGCGUGCCUAAUACAUGCAAGUAGAACGCUGAAGGAGGAGCUUGCUCUUCUGGAUGAGUUGCGAACGGGUGAGUAACGCGUAGGUAACCUGCCUGGUAGCGGGGGAUAACUAUUGGAAACGAUAGCUAAUACCGCAUAACAGUAGAUGUUGCAUGACAUUUACUUAAAAGUUGCAAUUGCAUCACUACCAGAUGGGCCUGCGUUGUAUUAGCUAGUUGGUGGGGUAACGGCUCACCAAGGCGACGAUACAUACCCGACCUGCGAGGGGGAUCGGCCAGACUGGGACUGAGACCCGGCCCAGACUCCUACGGGAGGCAGCAGUAGUGAAUCUUCGGCAAUGGACGGAAGUCUUAGCGAGAAACGCCGCAGGAGUGAAGAGGGUUGUCGGGUCGUAAAGCUCGGUUGUCAGGGAAGAACGAGUGUGAGCGUGGAAAGUUCACACUGUGACGGUAACUUACCAGAAAGCGACGGCUAACUACGUG